rnacentral:rRNA from 1 species
GACGAACGCUGGCGGCGUGCUUAACACAUGCAAGUGGAGCGACGAACCGGGGCUUGCCCCGGGGCAGAGCCGCGAACGGGUGAGUAACACGUGGGUUACCUGCCCCGUUGACAGGGACGACCCGGGGAAACCCGGGCUAAUACCUGAUGUGCCCCUUGGGGGAAAGGAAGCUUCGGCCUCCGCAACGGGAGGGGCCCGCGGUGCAUUAGCUUGUUGGUGGGGUAACGGCCUACCAAGGCGACGAUGCAUAGCUGGUCUGAGAGGACGAUCAGCCACACUGGGACUGAGACACGGCCCAGACUCCUACGGGAGGCAGCAGUGGGGAAUCUUGCGCAAUGCGCGAAAGCGUGACGCAGCAACGCCGCGUGGAGGAAGACGGCCUUCGGGUUGUAAACUCCUUUCAGUUGGGACGAAGCUUCACUGGUUAAGAGCUGGUUGGAGUGACGGUACCUUUAGAAGAAGCCCCGGCUAACUACGUGCCAGCCGCCGCGGUAAUAC